rnacentral:rRNA from 1 species
UACGUAGGGGGCAAGCGUUGUCCGGAAUCAUUGGGCGUAAAGAGCGUGUAGGCGGCCCGGUAAGUCCGUUGUGAAAGUCGAGGGCUCAACCCUCGAAUGCCGGCGGAUACUGUCAGGCUAGAAUCCGGAAGAGGCGAGUGGAAUUCCUGGUGUAGCGGUGAAAUGCGCAGAUAUCAGGAGGAACACCAAUGGCGAAGGCAGCUCGCUGGGACGGUAUUGACGCUGAGACGCGAAAGCGUGGGGAGCAAACAGG